AGCACAGAUGGCCCCAAACAGGUAAUAGUCUUCAAUUAUCUAGUUAAACAUUUUUUAUUACUUGACACAUGAUAGUUGUGUGUAUGAGAAUUUGACACAUUCAUAUAGUGUGAAAUGAUCAAAUCAGAGGUGAUUAGCAUUUUUUUGUGUGGGCACUUUCAAGCUUUUUGAGCUUUUUGCUAUUUGACAUACAUAAUAAAUUGUUAUAAAUGAUAGUUAUCCUAGUAUGCUAUAAAAUGCUAAACCUUAUUCUUCCUGCCUAAUUGUAUCUCCGUACCUAUUACAUCCUUUCUUCUCUUUUCUUAAUUAGCAAUUGUCUUUUUUGUGUCUUAUUUCACCUAACAUAAUGUCCUCCAGUUUCAUCUGUGGUGUCCAGAAUGACAGGAUUUCAUUCUUGCAUGUUGGUUUUGGAGGCUUAUGUUUUUCUAAGAUUGUUAAGAUAUUUUCUCUCUUUUUUCUGUCAGUUUUAAGAUCCCUUUUAAGGUCCAGAUUGAAGUCUUUAUUCAUUAAUCCAGCCAACACAGCUUGCUGAGCACUAUGCUAUAAGCCUCAGAGAAGAGGUCCUGGGGCUUUAUCAGGAUGUACGAACUUUUGGAUUCUCCUGGAGCUCACUCUGUCAGGGUUUUGGAACAUCACUUGAAUCAUGCCUUCUCACAGACCCUGGCUGCAUAUGGUCCAUUGGAUCCAGAGCUUUCUGAAUCAGCCCUGAAGCAGAGCUAGGAGCUGUUAUUUUGUUAGCCUCUGGUAUUUUCUGAAGGGUGAGAUCAGAAUCUUUCCUCUUCUGAGUUCUUGGGAUCUUGUAGGGCUAGUGUCCAAGUCUGUACUGAACACUAGUAAUUGUGAAUUCAGGUAAGGAACUGUCCCCUAAACUUGUUUCUUCAUCUAUACAGUCAACAUAACUUCCCCCAUUCUAAUCCUUUUGGUGCCUUCUUCGCAUGACCCUUCUCUGGUCAAAGGGAAGGAAAGAUGAGGCAGGUCAAGAGACAGGGAAGAAAUUGGGUGAGAUGACAAGAGUCAGGGGCCUCUUAGAAGACAACUUAGAAGCCUCCUACCUCCUUGGGUGCCAGCCUCAGAUUCACUUCAGAGGCAUUUUAGGAACUUUUCUCCCAGGAGUACUUCCCUACCUGAUCUAAGUGUGAGGAGGAAGGAAAAAUACAGCGGGAGGGUUGGGUGACAAAGGCUGGCCCAUGUUACACAGAGUAUCCUUACUGAGGUGGAUGUAAUUGCAUAGAUUAAGAAAGAUACGUGGCUAGCCAUGUAAGUUGCUUUAGAUCGUCGUGCAGUUGGACCCCAAAGGAUGGAUUAAUUUGUGCCAUACGUGUACUUAUGUCUUUGCAUGUGUAUGUCCUUUGGGGACGGUGAAAACCCUGUGGUAGAACAGACCCUUUUAUCCUCCAACAGCUCAUUCUACUGUAUAAAUGGAAACAAAACAAAACAAAGUAAAUACCACCAACAAAACAGCUUCAUUGCAAAUUUGAAAAUACAACUAGUAUUAAAAUUCGUGUAUUUUCAUCUUAUUCUUUAUACUUCCUGUUUAUAUAAACUUACUUUUUGGAUUCUGACUUUUCAUGUGGCAGUGUUAUCAUACAGAUAUUCCCAUGUCACUGCGUGGUCUCUGUUACCAUUAGUUUUAGCAGCCAUAUUGUACUGUCACUUAUCUUCUUACCACCUAGACCUACUAGCUGUCUUACACACUGUGGACUAUAGAACUCUGUUGAAUUUUUGUAUGUCUUCGUUAUCUCCCUGAUCUACUGCUAACUGGGGGAGAAAGACUGUUUCUUCCUCUGUAUAUAUAAUAAUGUGACCGUAUAGUAGGUGGGCAGAAAGGUUUGUUGUGCAUGGACUCCCACCCCUUACUUCUUUGCUUCUAUGACUUCUUUGUGUAUAAAACUGUGCUGCUUUUCUCCACAGAAACCUUGAUUUCCUUCCAAAUGCUACUUUUAUCCUGUCUCCUUAAAUAUCAUCUUGUCUCCACAGGUUUCUGGCCUGGAGUCCUCUGAGACAGCCCUUUUUGGGAACCAUCAGGUGGGAUGAGCUUCCAGUGCAAUAACAGUCUCUACUGGUGUCUGAAUCCCUUGUAUAGAAUCCUGUAGGAGUGGAAAUUAAAGGUAUCUUCAUUUUUUCUUUUCCUGUAGGGAACUCAUUUAAUCCAAAAGUAGUUGGUUUGGUUCCUUAUAUUUUUAUUUCAUAAGUUUUUUAAUAAUUCUGUAAUAAUGGGUUGCAUUAACUCCUUUACACAGACAGCCUAGACAACCUAUAUUGUAAUUUGAUGUGAUACAUUUUGUAGAAUAUUUUCUUGCCUUUAUGUGUAUAUUUAUAAACAACAUGAUAUUGUAUCUCUGUAUAUUUUACCUGAACAGUGUACUAUUUUCUUUCUGUCUUGUGCUUUUUUUCACUGAACAAUAAAUUGGCACAAUAUGGUUAAAA